rnacentral:misc_RNA from 1 species
GAAAUGCGAUAAGUAAUGUGAAUUGCAGAAUUCAGUGAAUCAUCGAAUCUUUGAACGCACAUUGCGCCCGCCAGUAUUCUGGCGGGCAUGCCUGUUCGAGCGUCAUUUCAACCAUCAAGCCCCGGGCUUGUGUUGGGGACCUGCGGCUGCCGCAGGCCCUGAAAACCAGUGGCGGGCUCGCUAGUCACUCCGAGCGUAGUAGUUACAUCUCGCUCAGGGCGUGCUGCGGGUUCCGGCCGUUAAAAGCCUUUUACCCCAAGGUUGACCUCGGAUCAGGUAGGAAGACCCGCUGAACUUAA